ensembl:lncRNA
UGGAAUUUUAGGAAAGUUAAACAAAUAGUGAUGUAGUUGUCUGAUAGCUCAGUCACAUAAUUUCCUGUUUCCACUUUGAUGUGACACUCCUAACCAUAACAACCACUGCUUGAUUAGCAACAUCCCCCUUGAUGGUUAAAUUUAAGCUUUUCGCAGUUGGAAUCUAGAUGUUUUUUAAUUGCUGUUUCAUCAGACAUUAGGGACACAUUUUUUCUGUUCUCAUAUUUUGGACCAGGAGUUCCUGUAGUUUGAAGAAGUCCUUUAGAUGUGGAGGUAGUGACUCCACGGCCUCCAACACUGUAGUUUGAAGAAGUCCUUUAGAUGUGGAGGUAGUGACUCCACGGCCUACAACACUGUAGUUUGAAGAAGUCCUUUAGAUGUGGAGGUAGUGACUCCACGGCCUCCAACACUGUAGUUUGAAGAAGUCCUUUCGAUGUGGAGGUAGUGACUUCACGCCCUCCAACACUGUAGUUUGAAGAAGUCCUUUCGAUGUGGAGGUAGUGACUUCACGCCCUCCAACACUGUAGUUUGAAGAAGUCCUUUCGAUGUGGAGGUAGUGACUCCACGCCCUCCAACACGGGUAGUUUGAAGAAGUCCUUUAGAUGUGGAGCUAGUCACUCCACGGCCUCCAACACUGUAGUUUGAAGAAGUCCUUUAGAUGUGGAGGUAGUCACUCCACGGCCUCCAACACUGUAGUUUGAAGAAGUCCUUUAGAUGUGGAGGUAGUCACUCCACGACCUCCAUCACUGUAGUUUGAACACGGCCUCCAACAUUGGAUCUUGUUUUGUUCUACAAAUGAUAAAAGAGUAUAGAUACG